CGGCGAGCGAACGGGGAGCAGCCCAGAGCCUGAAUCAGUGUGUGUGUUAGUGGAAGCGUCUGGAAAGGCGUGCGAUACAGGGUGACAGCCCCGUACACAAAAAUGCACAUAUUGUGAGCUCGAUGAGUAGGGCGGGACACGUGGUAUCCUGUCUGAAUAUGGGGGGACCAUCCUCCAAGGCUAAAUACUCCUGACUGACCGAUAGUGAACCAGUACCGUGAGG
rnacentral:rRNA from 1 species